rnacentral:misc_RNA from 1 species
UCCGGUUUGGCACCGGCGGUCUCCCUAGAGUUCCCGGCUUUACCCGCUGGCAACUAGGGACAGGGGUUGCGCUCGUUGCGCCACUUAAGGCAACACCUCACGGCACGAGCUGACGACAACCAUGCACCACCUGUGCAGGGCCCCGAAGGACACCGUAUCUCUACGGCUUUUCCCUGCAUGUCAAACCCAGGUAAGGUUCUUCGCGUUGCGUCGAAUUAAGCCACAUGCUCCGCCGCUUGUGCGGGCCCCCGUCAAUUCCUUUGAGUUUUAACCUUGCGGUCGUAAUCCCCAGGCGGGGUGCUUAAUGCGUUAGCUACGGCACGGAGGGAGUGGAUAACCCCCCACACCUAGCACCCAUCGUUUACGGCGUGGACUAC